rnacentral:rRNA from 1 species
GACGAACGCUGGCGGCGUGCUUGACACAUGCAAGUCGAACGGAAAGGCCUGCUUUCCCUUGUGGAUUGCGGGUACUCGAGUGGCGAACGGGUGAGUAACACGUGAGUGAUCUGCCCCCAACUUGGGUAUAAGCCUGGGAAACUGGGUCUAAUUCCCGAUAGGACUGCAGGGUGGUGCCUGUGGUGGAAAACGAUUUUCUAGUGGUUGGGGAUGAGCUCGCGGCCUAUCAGCUUGUUGGUGGGGUAAUGGCCUACCAAGGCGGCGACGGGUAGCCGGCCUGGGAGGGUGGACGGCCACAUUGGGACUGAGAUACGGCCCAGACUCCUACGGGAGGCAGCAGUGGGGAAUAUUGCACAAUGGGCGGAAGCCUGAUGCAGCGACGCCGCGUGGGGGAUGACGGCCUUCGGGUUGUAAACUCCUUUCGACCGCGAGGAAGCCACCUGGUUGGAAGGGUGGUGACGGUAGUGGUAGAAGAAGCACCGGCUAACUACGUG